GUAGGAGCGGCUGGGUUGACUACGGAGAAACGAGAGGCGGCUGGCUUGACCGCAGUGUCUGACUGCAGGGGUGGACUGGCAUUCUGGCAUACUGUCCACUCGUCCCCAUUGCCUCCACAGUUCGGAGAGUUUGAUGGCCUUCUGCUGGGUGACUGGGGUUACCAUGCCAACCCAGGCUGAUGACCUCAUACCCUGACCCUGAACCAGGCCCCCAACAGAACUUCAACCGGGCUCACUGCAGGACCAGAGCCUGGGUGGAGAUGACCAUAGGCCUGCUGAAAGCCCGUUUCCAGAGCUUAUGUCUCCUCAGGGUGACCUCUGAGAGGGCCUGUGAUAUUACUGUGGCAUGUGUUGUUCUUCAUAAUAUUACCACUAUUAGAGGAGAGGAACACCCUGCCCUACAAACUGAAGACCCAGAUGAUGAGCCCAUCCACCUGCAGCUAUCCAGGACAGCAGAGCAGUCAGAGACACCAUAUGCAAUAAUCACUUUAGAGUUUAAGUCACCAUCAUCACCACCACAGCAAAUAAAGACAUGAUACACAUUUCA